UUUAUUAAAUAUUUUAAAAUUGAUUUAAAAUAUAAUUUAAAAAUGAUAAAAAUAAUUAAAAAUUAAAAUUAAAUUAAAUGCUAAACUAAAACUCAAAUUUCGAAUAACAAAAUAAUAAUCAGUAUUAAAUAAAAUAAUUAAAAAAAACUAUUUUCUUCUCUUGUUUCUUCGUUCUUCUUCACAGAUCACACAAGUGAUCUUCUUCUUCAAAGAUGGUCGGUGACUCAACAGACGUAGGUGGCUGGGAGAUGGCAACAGUCAGGGCUCAUCAGGAUGAAGGAGCUGGGUUCGUUAGGGGCAACAAUUUGGGCUCGGUGGAAAGGAGUUCUUUGCCAUGGUGCCGACAACCCAGCUUCGACUUCUCAGACUCCACUUUAUAUCUUUGGCUUCAUCAACGACAGUCAAUCUUCCCACCAACCAUGAUUUGUUGGGUAUAUAGAUGCUUCACAUUGUCCGUCGACCCAGCCACGUCGCCUCCCUCCGCCCAGGUCCACCCAGCCAUUAUGCUUCACGUUUCCCGUCGACCAGCCAUGGUGUCGAUGGCCUCCAAGCACGCUCAAAUCCCGCCGACCCAUUGACCCAAAUGUUCAAAUUCUAUUGUUGUCCAGAUCUUUGUCAAUCCAAAUGCCAAAAUCCUCCAAACAUGCUCAGAUUUGUCACAAAGUGAAGAUGUCGAAGAAGAAUCGUCAAAGAAGAAAGAGGCUUUUUUAUUUUCUUUUGUUAAUGAUACAAUUUUUUUAAAAUCUGCUUUUUUUAAGAUACGAUUAGUUACUUUUUUUGUUAAAUUUGAUUAGAUUUUUAUUUUAUUUAAAUUUGGCCUUUAGAUUUUAUUUUAAUUUAAUUAAAAAUUACAUCUUGUUUUGAAUUAAAUUUUAGAUUUUUUAUUUAAUUUUAAAUUAUUUACAAAUUUUACUGCAAAAAAAAAUUAUUUAAAAAUUAAAAAAAUAUUUUUAAAAUAUUUAAUAAUUAAAAAUUAUUUGGACAAAUUAAGUGCAGCUACGUGGUAGCCACAUAAGACCUGUUUAGAUUGAAUAGCCAGGAACCAAUGUCUGCACCAAAUUUGUAACGGCAAAUAUUAUUGUUUUACAUAAUCUAACUACAUAUGUAUUAUUGCUCGUCUUGAUUAAAUAUCAAAUUCAGAAAACCCAGGCUUGAUUUUUGAAUUAAUGUCAGUGUUAGUAAGGUACAAAAAAUAAAUCAUGGUAAAUUGUUGACAUCUCAAUUUCAAUUCAAUUAUUUCUUUUAUAGUAAAAUAAUUAAAAAAGUAAUAUAAACAC